AUGUCCUUGCAAUCUGUGGCACACUUUGAGAUUUUCUUUUUGCCUUCUCUUCCAGGAACUGAAGAAGUUUCCAGGGCUUGGGAGGCAGUGUGUUAAUGCGUGUUGCAUGUUCUCCAGAAGGAAUUCAGCAUCCAUUGUCCUCAAAGUGGUGGUGACCAGGCAGGGAGGAUGCUGUUUGUCUGUUCCCACAUCUUCAUGUAGCUCAGCAUUUCUUACUACAAAGAUGCUCUGGAGUGUCAGCAUGCUCCUGUAGUUAAGAAUGAAAGGAAGGGUCCAUGGAUAUAUUACAUCUCUGUGCCGUCCCUCUAUAAUAAGAAACCUUCUCAGAGUGUGAAGAGUUGCUCCCUCUCCUUUUGUGUUUGCUCAGCUAGGUAGUGGCUUUUAGCAUGUAUAUCAAGCUAAGCAAACAAAAGCACACAGUAAAUAUCCACGUAUAAUAUAGUUUCUUCCUGCAUUUUCUGGUUUGAACAUUAACUGUACACAGCCAGGAAGGAAUAUGAAUAUACAGACAGGAAAAACUACCACUGAAUUAUUAUGCAAGUUACUUAGCACCUAGAAUCAUUGCAUUUUUCAAAGGGACUUUUAAAAUACUGCAUCAAUACAAGUGACAGAAUACUCCCAGGAUGUGAGAGGGGUUUCAUAUGUAUAAUUUGGCAAUGGCGUAUAAUGGGUAUAAUAUUUGUAACAGCUGUUAGGUGCUCUGAAGCUACACUACAUUUAUGGAAUUUUCCAUUGAGCUCUAAAUAUUCAGGUCACAUACACAGUUAAAUUUCCUGCAGUGGCAGUACAGAUAAAAGCACUCCAACCGUAUGCCAUAAUUGUGCUCUAUUUAGAGAGUGCAGCAACUUAGGCAUUUUCACAGCAGUCGUCUUAGAUACCAUAUACAUUCCGCUUUAUAAAUGCCAAUUCAUUAGCGCAUGUAACACAUAGCAUGCUGCUCUUAAAAAAAAAAAAAAGGAGACUGCUAUGUUUCAGUGAGGAAUAAAUAUACAGAAAAAAGCCCUCUUACUUAGAAG
rnacentral:lncRNA from 1 species